AAUGCUCCAGUCACGCCCUCCCCCGCCCGCCCUCCCCUCCCCCCCGGACCUGGUUUACGACACUGGGUGGUUUUACUUUUACAUCACCUUCCUACACCUAGUGCUCGGCCGGAACCUUGUUGCCAGGGGAGACCGGCGCUUUACGGCAGCGAGUUUGAACGGCGGCGGGGGAAUAAGGCGCUGCCACAGGUAUUUGUUCAGUGGUUUUGCAUAUCUAUCUCCAGCGGGUGUGAAUUGGCUGUUGACUUCACUACCUGGGAGUGCUUAGGGAAGGGUGACAAAUCAAACAGUGCAAAGUGUUCCCAGGGACUAACAGAAGGUGCUUCAAAGGAUUUGCCUUGGCAUUAGGAGAUCGGAUCUCCAGAUACAAGGGUGACUGAAAAUCGCAGCGUGGGACUUGAGAUGAAAGUGAGAAGUCAGGAAAGUUUUCUUGGGAGAGUGAAUGGCCAAGUGUAAGGCAGGGUUCUGCCCUGCCAUAACAGCUCAACAUCUUGGCUUCUUGUGUAGAAGAUGGCCCUGCAUGUGGAACUGCCUGCAGAAGGGGUUGCUUCAAGAUUACAUUGCUUCAGGAUUCUUGAAUGUGUUUAUCAUUCUGUGGAUGAAUGUGACCACAAUGACAUGCACAAGUUUUCGUGCUAAAUUUCCAACUCUUUGAAACUUGUCGUGUUUUAGAAGGCAAUUGCAAAACAAAGAAUAAUAACUAUAAUUAAUACAAUAUACAAAAAUAAUACAAGUAUACUGGUAGAUCUGUAACCCCAUGCCCUGCAAGCACAUGCAAAAUUCCAGGCCCCUCUCACAUUCAGGUCGCCUGUUUGCAUUCCGUUCUGUCUCUCAUCACCUCUGUACAGGAAUCCUUGUCUGUUCAUUCUGAGCAAGCUGUGCUUGCUAACAGUACAAAGAAAGAAGCAGCCUCCUGCCACUUGUUGCUCCUUUACACCCAGCUGUAGUGUCAGUGAACACAGGGCCCUGAGGUCUCUGAGCUGCUGGAGAAAUGACACCAUGCCCAGCAUACCCUGAGAGCAGAACUGAGGCUGGCAGGAGCAUUCCUACCUCUGUGCUGCCAUACCUGGAUAAAUGAAAGAAAAUCAAAGCAGUCUCUGAAUACUACAUCUUUGAUACCGAGGAGGUCUAGAAACUAAAGAGCGCGGUGUUUUACAUCAAGUUAUCAGUUAUCACAAUCACUGGGGAAAGCUUUUCAUUCAGAGCUUGUAAACAGGCGUGUGGGUGGGUGGGUUGGUUGUGGCUUUUUUCUUUUUUAAGCAACACCACUUUGAUAUAUUUAAUUGCAAAAACCGGGAACCUCGUGUCUUUCUAUACCAAGUUUAUUUACUCUGCUAAAAAAGAUCACAGUUAAGGAUGCAGCCGCUAUGAAAGAGUGCUUUUGCCUACUGCAUUCUUCUAAUUGUGGAUGCAAAUCCACUUGUUAAAAUUCCUGCUAUUUCUGUGGAGUUCUGCAAUAUCUGAGCACAUGGGAGGCAUAAUCUAAAUUAUAUAUACACCCUGCAAGUAAGAACGAAGAAUCCUUGUUGUGGAGUACAGCUUUCAAUCUGCCUUCUCAGUCAGUGCAGGACUUAAUUAAUGCACUAGUUCAUAGGAUCGAGGCAAAGCAGCGUGUUUCUGCAUCCUCCUGGAUGGUGUGGGCUUGGCAAGAUAUUUCUUUAUAGGAUGGGGUGUAAGGCAGUGGUUGUUCAAUUUGUCUCUGGCAACAUAGCUGUGGUGUGUUUCAGUUGCCUGAAUAGGCACAAUGUCAUUGAAAUGUUAGGUCGGCUACACUUACCUGAGAUUUAUUUGCAUCAUCUGAAGACAGAAGUUAUCAUAGCUCAAGAAUCCUGCUGGAAUAUAGAUGCCUGCAGACCGCAUCUUGGGAUAUCAUCAGCUGAUGAUUAUUACAAGCUGUUUUUGCCGACAUAAUGUAAGCUGAAUUUACAUUAUUGAAUAAAAGCAGUCAGUCGUCUAUUUGUAUGCCUACU
rnacentral:lncRNA from 1 species